GACGAACGCUGGCGGCGUGCCUAAUACAUGCAAGUCGAACGGUUUAGUUCCAAGAGGCGUGCCUGUUGGGACUAGGCAGUGGCGGACGGGUGAGUAACACGUAGGCAACCUACCUGUCAAACCGGGAUAACCUCGGGAAACCGAAGCUAAACCCGGAUAAGCUCCUUUUUCGCAUGAAGGGGGAGUGAAAAGGUGCGACCUGAUUACAGAUGGGCCUGGGGCGCAUUAGCUAGUAGGUAGGGUAACGGCCUACCUAGGCGAUGAUGCGUAGCCGACCUGAGAGGGCGUACGGCCACACUGGGACUGAGAUACGGCCCAGACUCCUACGGGAGGCAGCAGUAGGGAAUCUUCGGCAAUGGGCGAAAGCCUGACCGAGCAACGCCGCGUGAGUGAGGAAGGCCUUCGGGUUGUAAAACUCUGUUGUUUGGGAAGAAGGGAAAGGGUAGGACCCUUUGGUGACGGUACCAAACGAGAAAGCCCCGGCUAACUACGUGCCAGCAGCCGCGGUAA
rnacentral:rRNA from 1 species